rnacentral:tRNA from 1 species
GCGGCCGUGGUGUAGCGGUUAACACAAUCGCCUGUCACGCGAUAGAUUGAGGGUUCAACUCCCUUCGGCCGCG